CAGCAGCCGCGGGAAUACGUAGGGUGCGAGCGUUAAUCGGAAUUACUGGGCGUAAAGCGUGCGCAGGCGGUUUUGUAAGACAGGCGUGAAAUCCCCGGGCUCAACCUGGGAAUGGCGCUUGUGACUGCAAAGCUAGAGUGCGGCAGAGGGGGAUGGAAUUCCGCGUGUAGCAGUGAAAUGCGUAGAUAUGCGGAGGAACACCGAUGGCGAAGGCAAUUCCCUGGGCCUGCACUGACGCUCAUGCACGAAAGCGUGGGGAGCAAACAGGAUUAGAUACCCCAGUAGUCCCUGUCUCUUAUAC
rnacentral:rRNA from 1 species